rnacentral:snoRNA from 1 species
ACAAGUUUGUGUAGUUGAACAGAAUCUGUUCUAUAGGUUGUACAUCCGUUUCCAUUGGCACAAUGGAGACGUGGACAACAAUCUAGAAGAUGAUACAAUGCCAUGUGGCCAGAGAGUGAAUACUGGCUCUGGGCCCCAUGGGACUCCAUUCAGUCCUAGAUGAUCGCUCCCAUCAACCAAUGGCUGAUGAGAUGGCCAUGUGUCAGUCUGACAGAUC